UAUAGCAUACCAAGACCAAGAGGUCUUGAACAUAAUUUGCUCCAGCUUUCCCCAUUGGACAUGUAGUACCAGGGAUCGAACUCAGGACCUUGUGCUUGCAAGGCAGGUGCAGCGCCACUGAACUAAAUCCCUGGGCCAGGAAACAGAAUUUGUCAAAGGAAUUGUUUUUGGUACCUGGGAUCGAACUCGGGUCCUUGCGCUUGCACAGUAGGCAGCGAAACCACUGAGCUAAAUCCCUGGCCCGCAUCAAAGGAAUUUUUCAUGAAGCCACUUGGCCUAUAAGUAGAGGAAGUGUAAACCUAAUGGAUGUGUGGUUCCCAGCUUGUGAUGUUAGAAUUACUUUUGGCACUUCCUAUACAGGAACAUGGAUUUCAUGCAGUUGUAAUGAAACAGAAUCUUCAGGUGUAAGGCUGAGGCCUAUUAUAUUACAUUCAUGUGAAAAUAUUUUUUUAAAAGUGGAAUGAUUUGGGUUACUGAAGUGAGGAGGGAGGAGCGCUUACUCUCUUUGACUGCUGAAAAUGAUGUGACCGAUGUUCAGGAUGUACUGGUUUUAUUUUAGGGUUUUUUAAAUUAAAUACAUGUGUACAAUUUAUUUCACUUAAAGAGCAUGGUCUCACGGUGCAUCCAUUUAGCUAGAAACGUCUCAAGCUUAUCCUUCUUUAUGGCAGAGUAGACAAUCUACUGGUUUUAUAACCAGAGUGGGAGUAGGCCAUAAAUUGAUUGCUCACAAGUUAGAUAAGCUUGCUGUAAUUUUUUCAAGGAAAUAAAAGUUCAUUUUGAGUCAUUUUGUAAUGUUUUUGGUGUCUAAAUAUAACUUUAUAUUUUAUUCAUUAUCAAGAUAAAAAAAUGAGUUCUUAUGUCCUAUUUAAUAAUAUCUGCACUCCUAACUACAGUGUGUUUUAAAAGUUUUUGAAUUUUAUGAUACUGUAGUGGAAUACACCAAAUCUUUUCUUGCAAACUAUUAACUUUGGCUUCAGCUUCAAGAUGAUUUACUGCACUCACGUACUUUCAUCCC
rnacentral:lncRNA from 1 species